rnacentral:rRNA from 1 species
AUUGAACGCUGGCGGCAGGCCUAACACAUGCAAGUCGAGCGGAGCGGCGGACGGGUGCGUAAUGCCUAUGAAUCUGCCUGGUAGUGGGGGAUAACGUCCGGCAACGGGCGCUUAUACCGCAUCCUAUCAGAUUAGCCUAUGUCGGAUUAGCUAGUUGGUGGGGUAAAGGCCUCCCAAGGCGACGAUCCGUAACUGGUCUGAGAGGCUGAUCAGUCACACUGGAACGGAGACACGGGCCAGACUCCUACGGGAGGCAGCAGUGGGGAAUAUUGGAAAAUGGGCGAAAGCCUGAUCCAGCCAUGCCGCGUGUGUGAAGAAGGUCUUCGGAUUGUAAAGCACUUUAAGUUGGGAGGCGUUACCAACAGAAUAAGCACCGGCUAACUUCGUGCCAGCAGCCGCGGUAAUAC